rnacentral:rRNA from 1 species
AUUGAACGCUGGCGGCAUGCCUAACACAUGCAAGUCGAACGGGGGCAGCGAUGCCCUAGUGGCGGACGGGUGAGGAAUACGUAGGAACCGGCCCACGAGUGGGGGACAACCUGGGGAAACCCAGGCUAAUACCGCAUACGCUCGCGAGAGGAAAGCGGGGGACCUUCGGGCCUCGCGCUGGUGGACGGGCCUACGUCCGAUUAGCUCGUUGGUGGGGUAAAAGCCUACCAAGGCGACGAUCGGUAGCUGGUCUGAGAGGAUGAUCAGCCACACUGGGACUGAGACACGGCCCAGACUCCUACGGGAGGCAGCAGUGGGGAAUAUUGGACAAUGGGCGCAAGCCUGAUCCAGCAAUGCCGCGUGGGUGAAGAAGGCCUGCGGGUUGUAAAGCCCUUUAAGCGGGGAGGAAAGCCGGGGGGUGAAUAGCGCCUCGGGGUGACGUUACCCGCAGAAUAAGCACCGGCUAACUCCGUG